AGGGCACCACCAGGAGUGGAGCCUGCGGCUUAAUUUGACCCAACACGGGAAAACUCACCCGGCCCGGACACUGGAAGGAUUGACAGAUUGAGAGCUCUUUCUUGAUUCAGUGGGUGGUGGUGCAUGGCCUUUCUUAGUUGGUGGAGUGAUUUGUCUGGUUAAUUCCGAUAACGAACGAGACUCUAGCCUACUAAAUAGAUCGUCGGCUUACAAACGCCGGCGAGACUUCUUAGAGGGACAGGCGGUGAUUCAACCGCACGAAACAGAGCAAUAACAGGUCUGUGAUGCCCUUAGAUGUCCGGGGCCGCACGCGCGCUACACUGAAGUGAUCAGCGUGCUUUUUCAACCUACUCUGUCAAGAGUGGGGAACCCAAUGAACCUUCUUCGUGAUUGGGAUAGGGGAUUGUAAUUAUUCCCCUUGAACGAGGAAUCCCAGUAAAGCGCGAGUCAUGAACUCGCGUUGAUUACGUUCCCUGCCCUUUGAACACACCGCCCGUCGCUACUACAGAAUGAAUGUUU
rnacentral:rRNA from 1 species